rnacentral:rRNA from 1 species
UACGAAGGGGGCUAGCGUUGCUCGGAAUGACUGGGCGUAAAGGGCGCGUAGGCGGUUUGGACAGUCAGGCGUGAAAUUCCUGGGCUUAACCUGGGGGCUGCGCUUGAUACAUCCAGACUUGAGUGGGGAAGAGGGUCGUGGAAUUCCCAGUGUAGAGGUGAAAUUCGUAGAUAUUGGGAAGAACACCGGUGGCGAAGGCGGCGACCUGGUCCUUUACUGACGCUGAGGCGCGAAAGCGUGGGGAGCAAACGGG